rnacentral:lncRNA from 1 species
AAUUCCUAAAAAAAAGAGGGCACCAUCCCCCACCUCCCUACCUGAAUCAUAUGAAGGAUCUGGCGUUCGAAAAAUUGAACAAACAGAGGAAAUAUAGAAAAUAUCAUACAAGAAAACUAGGAAUACAGAGAAUUGAGCUGCAAAUGUUUAUUGGUGAUAUAGACCAUACCUGCACCACAAGAAAGAACUGCCGUAGAAAAACAAUAAGCAAAGGGUGGCGAGAAAGAAGCUCAAGGAAGAAAGUCUAGGAAAUCAAAAGGAGCUGAGCUCCAUGAUUUAUCAAUGGUAUUCAGGAAGCAAAGAAAACCACUAGGGUGCAAAUUGCAAAUGCAAGAUCUUAUCUAACAUGAGAUGUUUGGUUCGAGCUGAGCUCCAUGGGCUUCUAACAUGAGAUGUUUGGUUCAAGCCACGCAAAGACACUGGACCUAUCAGUCCAUCUAUUUGGUUGUUAAUUAAAGGAAGUCAGUGGUUUUCCUCGGUUUCUAGGGAUUUGCAUUUCAUGGUUCUCCUGUUUUAUUUUUCAAAGUUUUUAAAUGGAAUAUUAUUCCGUAUUUUUAUUUAAAGGAAGAGGAAGUAUUGAGUGUUGGAAAUUUUACUUAAAUC